UACGAAGGGUGCAAGCGUUACUCGGAAUUACUGGGCGUAAAGCGUGCGUAGGCGGUUUGUUAAGUCCGCUGUGAAAGCCCUGGGCUCAACCUGGGAAUUGCAGUGGAUACUGGCAAGCUAGAGUGCGGUAGAGGAUGGUGGAAUUCCCGGUGUAGCGGUGAAAUGCGUAGAGAUCGGGAAGAACGCCAAGGGCGAAGGCACUCUGCUAGGCCUGAUUUCGCGACUGACACUCAGGGACGAGAGCCAGGGGAGCGAAUGGG
rnacentral:rRNA from 1 species